rnacentral:tRNA from 1 species
GGGCCUAUGGUCUAAUGGCUAUGACACAUCCAUGGCAUGGAUGAAGUCCGAGUUCGAUUCUCGGUAGGUCCA